GCGGAGGGCCGGAUGGCCGCGUGGUCGCUUGCCGCGAGGGAAGGGGCCGCGAGGAAAGUCCGGACUCCAUGAGGCAACGGUGCCGGGUAACGCCCGGCGGGGGCAACCCCAGGGAAAGCGCCACAGAGAACAGACCGCCGCCUGCUUGUGGGCGGCAAGGGUGAAACGGUGGGGUAAGAGCCCACCGGGGGGCUGGCAACAGUUCCCGCAUGGCAAGCCCCACCGGGAGCAAUGCCGAAUAGGGAUCGCGCGCGGGGAAACCCGCAGGGCCGCCUUGCCCCAGCAGAUCCGGGUAGGCAGCUAGAUCCGGCCGGCAACGGCCGGGCCAGAGGAAUGGUCAUCCAUCCGGGGCAACCCGGAGGACAGAAUCCGGCUUACAGGCCCUCCGCGCAU
rnacentral:RNase_P_RNA from 1 species